GCCUAGAAAAGGGCCGGGGCGACCCCGCAGACCACCAGGCGCGGGGGCGGGCAGAAGUCUGGCUGCCAUAGACGAGGGGGUGGGGGAACUAGGUGAAAAGUGUCCUUUCUGGCCCGAUUGCACCUACCUCCGCAGUAAUAUCCCGGCCAAACGAGCCGCUGUGAGGAGAGCGAAGGUGCUGGGCUGAUAAGAGAGUAGAUGUGCAAUGUCCUUUAGAGGAGUGGGGAAGAAUCCACUCGGGAAAUCCUGAAGUUCCUCGCAGGAAUUUAUGGACACCAGGCAGCAAGGCAGCUUGCUCCCGUGCUGCGUUCCCGGGGCGGGACGCAGCCUCUGCGGUCAUUUUCCCGUGAGGACUACUCUCCGCCUUUCGGGAGAAGGAUUUGACCUUCUUUGGGAUCAGCACUCGAGAAUGCAGCCGCUAGAUUGUCAGCCCUUUGUAGGUGGAGCCAUGCCCACCACCUCUCAGCGGACCCUGAAGCUGAAUCUCAGUGCUCUGUUUACUGCAGGUGAGUGAUCUCUUA